rnacentral:rRNA from 1 species
UACAGAGGGUGCAAGCGUUAAUCGGAAUUACUGGGCGUAAGGCGCGCGUAGGUGGUUUGUUAAGUUGGAUGUGAAAGCCCCGGGCUCAACCUGGGAACUGCAUUCAAAACUGACAAGCUAGAGUAUGGUAGAGGGUGGUGGAAUUUCCUGUGUAGCGGUGAAAUGCGUAGAUAUAGGAAGGAACACCAGUGGCGAAGGCGACCACCUGGACUGAUACUGACACUGAGGUGCGAAAGCGUGGGGAGCAAACAGG